rnacentral:ribozyme from 1 species
GAUGAAGGCCGAGCUCGCCUACUUGCGCACGCUCGUGCCUGCCGGUCGUCGCUAAGAAGCGCGCGCCCGCGCCGUUUUUGCCCUCCCUCCCUCCCUCUCAUUAUCUCUCUGUGUG